rnacentral:lncRNA from 1 species
UAUAUAUUUUAUAAUAUUAUUAUUUUAAUUUUUAGUUAAAUCACAAAUUAUAAAUACAUAAAUAUAUGAGAAUAUAAAUAUAAUAAUUUACAUGUUUAACAUUAUUUAAUUUUGUAUUAUUACUAAAGUUAAAAAUGGGUAGUCAAUUUGUAAAGCAUAGAAUUAUUAUUUGAUUGUAUAAUAUUAGAUUAAUGUAAAUUUUCGUUUUUGUAAUUCAUUACUGUAUAUAUUUAUAUUUAUACAUGAUUUUUGUAAUUUGUGUUUGAUAGAUACAUUUUUUGGGGGUUUCAAAUUGAAUGGCCAUUAUUAGCGUAAUUAGUGUGAUCAAACAUUUGGAUUUAUUGUUUUGCUUCGGGUGUUGAAGUACUUGAUGACAUACUUUUGAAUUAGGAAAACUGAAAUUUAGACUCUAGAGGGAGCUUUAGUCUAGAAAUGGAAUUAUACUAAAUAGUUGUUGUAAUAGACAAAGACGUACUUCAGGAGGCUUGUGUCUAAUUUAUGCGUCAGCGAAUAAGUUGUAUUUGCUUUUUUGUUCUAUUGAAUUCGAAAAAGAAAGUUUUUUGUUGUUUAUUUAUGCACCACUCUUACCUCACUGCACCUACACU